CGAAGUGCUCCCAGUGCUAUUCGGCCAUACAUUAUAGUUAUCCUUUUUACCCGCUUAGAAAAGCGCCACGUUUUAUUUUUUGUCACCAUACUUGGUCGUGUAACUUGUGUAACUGUAUUUAAAUAGAGAUACGUGGAGGUGUUUGGUUGCGUCUAACUUCAUCUCUGUCUGGUCCCUAAUGAAUGAACUGGGCCAAGUUAAGUGCUAUCAAAGUGUCUCCAUGCGCCAGAGCGAUUGAGACGAGAGAGGUGCGUAUCAACUCGUCUUAGUUAAGGGAAUAACAGAGUUUAAAUAUGAAAAAACGGUUGAGUGUUCCUUUAAUAAAGUAUGUAAAGGUUUGUAGGUAAGCUCUUCCUCCUUUCCUUAAGAGUUUACCAGCAACAGUCUGUCUGUAAUAACAUUGUUGACUUUCAUUUUGUUUAAUUUUUUUUUUUUUUUGUGUUCCAAUGAUGCUAAUUAUGUAAGUACUUUUUGCUGAGGAUUUAGGUCUGUACAUACAGAUUUUUUAUGCAUUUCUGCAAUGGGUGAAAUGGCUAAAUAAAAACUUAAACAAGUUUUAAAGAUUUGAUUUGAAAAUAAUGUAUAUUAUAAAUCUCUUUUUAUGUGAUCACAACCACAGGUUGAGGUAGCACAUGGCACGGGCAUAAAAAUCCUCAAGCAUCAAUGGACUUCUGCCCUGCAGGCCCAAACAGCCACUUCAAUGGUGCGUGUUCUUUUAAUGGCCGCCUUCCCACUAGAAGUUCUGAUCCACAGCAAUUUGAAAGGGGGAAAGAGUAAAACUGAUGGUAGUGCAGAGAGAAGACAUGCCCUUGACAAGGAAACCAUGGGAGCCAUAUUUGAAUUUAAUUGAAAACGCUGGCUCUGCGCCAGUGGACACCUGGCCGUCAUUAACAUAGGCAGUGGCAAAAUAUGCGGCAAUGGAGGGACAGAAAUCUCAAAUGUUAUCAAAAUAUCUUCAGUUAUGUUUAGAAGAUGAACGAGAGUCUUAACAGGGUUAGAACAACAUGAGCAUGAGUAAUGACAGAAUUUUCAUUUUUGGGUGCAUGAACUAACCCUAAAAUAUAUCAGUAAUUUUUUUUGUCUCUUACAGUGGCAGUCAAGAAGAGGUUUCCCAAUGUGUCCAGAGGAGCUUUGGGUAUUGCAGUGAAUUCCAAGCUGGGGGAACUGAGACUGCUUGAAAAAAAAAGGAGCUAAUUUUGUUAUUGUUUUUUUGUUGCUGUUUUUUAAUUUAUAGCAUGUUCCUUACUUGAUUUUUAUUCAGGGGUGUUAUAUGUACACAUUUUAGACAGAAAAUAAAGAUUUUAUUCAAAUGUUA